CUUCCUACGGGAGGCAGCAGUGGGGAAUAUUGCGCAAUGGGGGGAACCCUGACGCAGCAACGCCGCGUGCGGGAUGAAGGCCUUCGGGUUGUAAACCGCUUUCAGCAGGGAAGAGACAGACGGUACCUGCAGCAGAAGCCCCGGCUCACUACGUGCCAGCAGCCGCGGAACUACGUAGGGGGCGAGCGUUAUCCGCAUUCAUUGGGCGUAAAGCGCGCGCAGCCGGCCCGUUAAGCGGGACCUCUAAUCCUGGGGCUCAACCUC
rnacentral:rRNA from 1 species